CCUGCCUCAGCCUCCCGAGUAGCUAGGAUUACAGGCAUGCACACCACGCCCGGCUAAUUUUGUAUUUUUAGUAGAGAUGGGGUUUCACCAUGUUGGCCAGGCUGGUCUCAAACUCCUGACCUCAGGUGAUCCACCCGCCUCGGCCUCCCAAAGUGCUGGGAUUACAGGAGUGAGCCACUGCACCCCGCCUGUUGUGAAUAGUCUUAAGGGGAGGCGUAGUGGGAUGUAAUGGGCUGGAGUCCUAGGCCACCACUUUUUAGCCAUGUGACCUUUGAGAUGAACUAUUAAACUUCAUCCCAGAAUCUUUCUAAAUUCUCCAAAGUUAAAGAUGAGAUUUAAUAGCUCAUCUAUUAAAGAUUUCUGGGAUGGCAUUCUUAAAAUUAAGAUUAGCUUCUGUUAAGGAAUUAGAAAACACCAGAGGUAGGGAAUGGUCCCUGUCACAUAUAGACAGCAUUUGCCCUAAACCAUGCUCUGGUCAAGAGGAGGCUGAGGACUUCUGAGCCAUUUGCCUCUCAUCAGAACGUCCUGGGUGUAGUGUCAGAGAGUGGCUGUAUUGGCUUGUCUGAACAGCUAGUGUGUUGCUUUGGUUUGAGCUGAAAGAUUGUUCUAACAAAGGUGCAUGGUGACUAUGGUCAGCAUAGGCGUUAGGAGAGGAGGGGCCGUCUGUGCACACUGUCCUGGGUGUGCCCAUCCUCAGGAGCUCAGCUGUGUAGUGUGUGGCAGCCUGUCCCCCUGACUCCCGCCGGUGAGGUUCACAGAUGGUCAGAGCUCCCAGGUGCGGCUCUAAAGCUCUGGCUCUGCUGCCGUGGCCCCAGGCAACCUGGCUGGCUCAUGGGCUUCAGCUUCUCACAUGUGGAAGAGCACAGAUCAUCCUUCACCCCAGUAUCCCGGUAGCUGACCUCAGACUUUCUGAGUGUGAGUUGACUUGAGUAGCCCUGAGAUGCUGACGUCCUCUGAGUACAUCAACAACAGGGAGUUUCUGGGCUGCAGGCUGAGAACCCGUGUUUGUCACAAGGCGGCCCCACAGAGUUACCACCACUCUAAGGCCCUGCCAGAGCCAGCAACAGAUUAUUCCAGAAGGCACCUGUCUCCCAAUCACCUUCUCUAUCUGGAACAACACCUCCCUCAGGGUUGGGUAAAGUAUUAAAUAUCUGUGCCUUGCAUACACUCACUCAGUGCUCAACAAAUGCUGGUUCUUUCCCAGUUUCUGUAAUCUGUAUGACCUAUCUUGACCAAGAGAUUGUCAUCAUCCUGAGGCCCGGGGCCCAGGCUGCUGUUGCGCUGGCCUCUCUCCCUCACUCUCCAGUAAGCCCUGUCCCAGGCUGGCCUCUCCCUCCGGGGCUGUCUUAUCCACGCUUGGGCUCCAACCACCUUGACCCUUCUCCACCUGUCAGUCACGCCCCAGGUGUUCCCUGAGUCACGCAACAGCUAUAUAGUAGCUCCGCAGACCAACAGCAGGCCGACAGCGUAGCACCUGAGUUCUAGAUCUACCACUGUUCAUGCGGGACCUGGCAUAAAGCAUUCCCACGUCUCGGCCUCCAUUUCCCCAUCUGUGAAACGAGAGCACUGGUCAGCUCUUCACAUGCAGCGUUUGUGGGAUGAAUCCUUCCAUCUGUCCAUCCAUCCCGCCAACAUCCAUGCACAAACAUUUAGCACCUGCUGCAUGCUGUCAGGGACUAUGGCAGGAAAAGAGUUGAAACAGACACGUCCCAGGCCUCCAGCCCCUCACACCACGGAGAGGAAACAGAUGCCCGCAAAGGAGGAGGCACCCCUCAGGGGGCCAGCGCUGCGACACGGUGGAGGCAGGGAGGCCGUCUCUAAGCAGCCUGCGAGUCCCCGCGCUGCACCGUGGCUUUGAGGAGUGGCGGGGGCCGAGGGGCCGGUCUCUCUUCCGGGGGAGAUUCCUCCCCUCACCCCGGCAUUACUCAGCGCCCUGAACUGUCUGCCUCCCUCCAGCCGGCCCUCCUCGUCUUCCUGGAGCGCAGCACAAAGGUCCUGUUGUGGCCGCGGCCCGGGCCGCGGGCGAGCCUCUCUGGAUGGUGGUGACUCAGUCUCUUGCCAUUUCCUUUGUGCGGCUCCGGGGCUCCUCGCUGGGAGCGGAGUGUGUCUGCAGGGCUGGGGGCGGGAGCCGGGACCCACAGCCCGACAGCGAGCCUUUCAUGUGGGCAGGGGGCUUCCCGCACGCAAUGCGAACCUACGCCUGGAGCUUCCCAAAGACAGCGUCCGGCGCAGGAACGCGAGAUGCUGGCCGCCUCGCCUCUGGCCCCCGCGAGCAUCAAAGCGCGUGCCGUCGAGGGGGCACGUGUCCCCCAUCGGGCGCGCCUCUGCUCCUAGUCCCCUGAAUGAACACAUCCUUAUGAAAAGUGGAAAUUAGCCGCCGAAGGGAAGGGCCCGGAGAGCUUGGGAAGCGACCUAGGCUGCCAGCCUCCCGGCGGGUCUUUGGUCCCAGCUCUGAUGACCUGUCAGCAGCCGCAGGACCUGCGCUUAAAGGCGCCUCUCCAGGCCUGGCUCAGGGUGGGGCUCCUCGUGCUCAGCACCCUGGUCAAGGUUAGGGCUGGGUGUGCGCUGGAGGCUUGGAGUGCCAGGGCACCCAGUGAAGAGCGAAUGAAUGAACGAGUGAACACCGGACUGGGGGCCUGCAGACGGUUCUUCGCAGGUUAAUUAGAAGGCCUCUAGCAAGCUGCAGCGGAGGCAUUUCAGGCAUCCUUCAGAGAGGACCCUCGGCCUGGCUCCUAAGGGCCCCUGGUCUGGCUCUCACCCCCUGCUCUGGUGGCAUUUCUGCUCACUCAGCCUUUACCCUUUACACGCCAGCCGCUCUGAACAGUUUAUUCUUCUGGGAGCACAUCAUGUUCUUGCUCACAUCCAGGUUUUGCGUAAGCUGUUCCUGCUGCAAGGAAAACCCUUCCUGUGUCCUCCUCAGGCAACUCCUGUGCAUCUGUAGGUACCAUUGUGAGGUUACUGCCCUGGACUGGGGAGAGAUCCACACACGCAAGAGUGCAUCUGGCAUCAGUAUGUAAGAGUCAAAACUGACACACAGUUCUUCAUCUCAUGGAAAUGAAAACAUGCAUGGCCGGAAUGAUCUUAUACCUGCUUCUCUUGGGCCAGGUCACCAGGCUGGCCCUGAGAAGUAUGUGAUGGCAUGGAGAAGAAUCCUCACACAUCCUUGCAGUUCUCUAGGAUUUGCAAGGCAUUCCCCCCAUUGCUGGACUCACUGGAUUUGAGUAGGCCUGUCUGCCCCUAUUUUAGAGAUGAGCAUAUACACCUUACAAAAACUGAGUCUUGCUCAAUGUCUGGCAAAGAAGUCUUCCUUUAUCCAACAAUCCUGAGAGUCUAGCGGGUGUUGGGCACCAUAAAGAUGAAUGAGGUGCGGUUCUUGCCACCAGGCAGUGCCCGGGCUUGUCAGGGAGACCCAUGUGGAGCAUGACAAUUGCUACCUUCUUGAUACGGGCAAAAGGAUGUUGAGUCCAGUGGAAGGAGAGGCUUGUCUGGCUGUGAGAUCAGCAAAGUCUUCACAGAAAAGGAGAAUUUUAAAUGGGGCCUUGAAGGGGAAGUGUCUCCUGGAGAUGGAGAGAACAUAGCGAGGAGAGUGCGGUGAGGUGGGGGGUGGCAGGGGAAGCACAUCACUACGCGGUGCUUAGGGCCGAGUCUGAGCCAACCUGGGAGUGGCACUCAGCUCCCCCAGGCCCCCGAGAUGCAUGUUCAGCAGCAUCCAGCGGCCUCCUGUGAAGCGACUGGGAGUCCACAGAGACAACAAAAGCAGAUGUAGUGAUGUGUAAACUUGAAGUUUCUAGAAGUUCCUUUGGGCCCCACCAAAUCUCUGUGGCAAUGAACCAAUCCCACAUGUUCCUGUGGGUAAUGCUCCCAGAGGGCAUGUGACUUUGGGCAUCAUUAUUGGCUGAAAAAGGAAACUGGGGUAGUAGUUAGAGAGUGCUAUGAACUGAAUGUUGUGUGCCUCCCAAAUCUGUACACUGAACUCCAAAUCCCACUGUGGUGGUAUUAGGUGAGGGGGCCUUGGGAGGUCAUUAGGUCCUGAGGGUAAAUCCCUCAUGAAUGGGAUGAGUGCCCUCACACAUGAGACCCCAGAGAGCUCUCUGGCGGUCUUUCUACCAUGUAUGGCUGCAAUGAGAGGUCUGCAGCCUGCACCUGGAAGGAGGCCCUCAAUGAACCUGACCAGACUAGCAUCCUGUUCUCAGACUUCUGGCCUCCCAAACUGUGAGAAACAAGUUUCUGUUGUGUAUAAACCAUCCAAUCUAUGAUAGUUUGUUAUAGUAGCCAAACCGACUAGGACAGAGAGGAUGUAAGGAGCCAGUGGAGGACUCUUUUAAUGGAGAGACUACAGCAUGUCUCAGGCUGAAUGGUCCAGUAGGGAGAGCAAAAACAGUGCCCAUGCAUCACCCUGAGGUCUCACCCAACCCUGCUGGAACUGACUUUAGUGCCCUCUUCCAGUGUUCCCCGCAUGACCUGGUGGGUGCACACCUGGCUGCUUGCAUUCACACCGUCCCUCUCCACUUCUUCCUUCUCCCCAGCUCUCUUCCUGUCAACCCUGGCAUUGCCUUUGUUGGCUACUGAGAGAAGACCAGAAAUAUCCAUCUAGUCAGACUUGCCUGCUCCUGGGAAGAAAACAAAAAUGCAAAGAAAAGGUUCUCAGGGAGAUUGAGCCAACCUGGGAGUGGCCCUCAGCUCCUCCAGUCCCCAGAGACCCAUGCUCUGCAGCAUCCAAGGGGCUCCUGUGAAACUGUUGGGAGGCCAAUGACACUCUGUCCCACGUUGUGGAUCUAUUUUGUGGUCUCUGUAUCCUUCACUGCUUUUUGUGGACAUUAUUGUAUUAGAUUCCUUUGGAAAUGAUGAUCCAGCUAAUGGCCAGUUAGUAGGAAACAUCACGACCCUCCCCCCAAAUUCCAGCCUCUUGCUGAAAGGGUGGGGCCUGGGAAAUCAUAUGGUAUUGCUCCUGGUCACCACAGACCAGUGGUGGCUUUGGGCCAAAUUCUGGCCCAGCCAAUCCCCCCCACCUUUUUUUUUUUUUGAGAGAGAGAAUUUGAGGUAAGAGACACAGAGACUCAGGUUAGGAGGAUGCUUGAACUGAAAGGUCCUGAGACAGCAGGACAGGAGCUAGUACCAUGCAGAACACAGCAGGAGCCACAGGCAAGCCUGAACUGUGGGAGAGAGAAAACGAAGGGCCUUCCAGAGAGGUCCAGUCUGCCAAGAGGAGAAGAGAGUUGACACGCAGAAAGAGUUAGGGGUGACAAGAACCCCCGUAGCCCCUUGAAGGACACAGAGAGGAGAUCUUUUUUGUUCUUUUGUGAUUCAUCCUUUCUCACUUCCUGUCCUUGGAGGUCAACAACAGACCCCUGUAUCCUUUUAAUAAUCCCUCUUUUCAUUUGAAAUUGUUCCAGAGGGUACCUGAUCCUUGUUGCCAGCAUGCCCUGAAUAAGAAAAAUGCUCAAACCAAACACUGAGUCUACUGAGUCUAUGUGAAUUAAUUCUUGGAAUUCCUUGGCUCAAUUCAAUAAACAUUUCAUGCACAAUUUUUGUGUGCCAGGUGCUAGAGGCAUUCUGAGAAAAACUGAGACCCAGGAGCUGUCCUCAGAGAGUCCAGUAAGAUGUGGUCUGAUAAGACAUGUUUCCAUAUACCCAGAAUACAAGGUAGUUUGCUAGGAGCACUGCAAGAGAAACGCAGAUGGAAGGCUGGAGUGUGUACUGCCACUGUGGAAGCAGGAGGGGCUUGAGGGAAGAGGGCCUUCAAGAAUGGGUGGAAUCUAAUAUUGGAAAGGGGAGGAAGAGUGGAAAGUAUAAGAAUCAGAAGUCUGGUUGCAGGAUGGGGCAUGAUAUGGGUGGGACACUGUAAACUGCACAGCGUGGAAGGAAUAUGGAGUUUAGAGGAAUAAUGUUAGAUGAGUCUGUAAGACGGGCUUGACUGGGAUUAUGAAGGGCCUUAAAGGUCAAGCCAAAUUUGUUAUCAUAGAAUCAUAAGAAGGAGAAGAGCCUUAGCUGUUGUCUAGUCUAACUUAGGUAAUUUGGUUCCAGUUCCUCUUAAGGUGGCCACCAUGACAGACUGAAUCUCAAGUACUCAUCUGAGAUACAGUCAUUUCAAUGGUAGUGACUCAGAAUUUACUUUUCUUUUUUUUUACCCCAGCAAAAUAUUUAUUUUAGAAAAUAGGAUUAUAUUAUUUGUUGCUCUCCAACUUGCUUUUUUUGGACAUCUUGGACAUCUUUCUCUACCAGUACAUAUAGUUCCAUUUCCUUCUUUUUAUUUUAUUUACUUUAUUAUUUUUGUAGAGAUGAGGUCUUGCCAUGUUGCCUAGGCUGGUCUGGAACUCCUGGGCUCAAGAGAUCCACUCACCUUGGCCUCCCAAAGUGCUAGGAUUACAGGCGUGAGCCACUGCAGAUAUUUUUAUUUUUUAUUUUCAUUUAUUUCAAUAGUUUUUGGGGAGCACGUGGUUAUUUGAUUACAUGGAUAAGUUCUUUAGUGGUGAUUACCGAGAUUUUGGUGCACCCAUCACCCAAGCAGUGUACACUGUACCCAAUGAGUAGUCUUUUAUCCCUCGUCCUCCUUCCCCGCUCCCCUCACGUCCCCAAAGUACAUUGUAUCUUAUGCCUUUGCAUCCUCAUGAGAUUACUUUUCUAUCUUUAACAACUUAAGAGUUCUUUCCAGAAGAGUCCUCUUACUACGAGGAAGAGUGUUAGAGCACAGGGAACUGGGCCUAGAGAGUCUGCAGCAAAUUGUCUCAAAUAGCAGCUUAAAAAGGUAAGGAACAGAAAAGAAACACUCUCUAUCUAUGUGCUGGCCUCAGGCACAGUGCUUCUAGAUGGUAGAACAUCUGUGAAGUAGAAAUUACAAUCACUUUUCAGGUGAGAAAACAGGAGCUGUAGGGAGGAGUCGGACAGGUCCCCAGGCCCAGCAACUAUACCAGGUGAGGCAGGAAUGUGGCCUCGUGUUGACCAGAUUCCACAGCCACGGGCUUCCAUCCCUCUUCUCUGCUUGCUUUAAGACUAACCACCCUGGCUUCAAGUAAGUAUCACUCACAAAGGAAUUUCAAAAAGACAUGCACAUAAAUUAAUGGCUGAUGGCUGUAGGUGGUCGUAUGGGAGGAACCGAUUAUAACAUUGUAUGAACUUAGCAAAGCUCUAAACCAUAGCACAGACAUUUGGCAAAAUGGUUACUCUUUUUCAAUCAUCCAAGGACUCAGUUUAUAAUAAGCCUUGAGCGAGUCCCUAAAUUCCAAAGCCCUUAGCAUCUUCCAGGACCCUCUUGAGACCACACAGUGCUUCCAGCUUCCGGAAACAGCAGAUGCUAUUGCUUCCAUGAGCAAUGUCAGCAUUUAAUACACAAGGGGGAACAGAGAAAGAAACCUAUAUGGAUGGGGAGCAGGGAGGAGGGGCAGCACUGGAUCCUCUCCUGGGCCCUGUCCAGCUCGACAUUCCUGAACAGAGCGUGCUGUUCCCUCUCCUGAUGUUGGCAGCUUAGAAUGCAGGAGCCUUAGAUGGGUGGCCUGGAAGGGAGGCCAGCAGGGAGAGGUGACCUGGAAGUGAGGAAGCUCAGGAGGGACUGAUGGUAAUUGGAGGGGCAGGCAGAGAGAGGCAGAUGAAGAAACAGCCGAGGCCUGUGUGAAGGCUGGACCCAACCUGCGUCCAAGCAGAAAGUCCAGAGAACUUAGCACAGCUUCCAAAGCUUCAGAGUACAUCAGAACUACUUGGGAAGUGCGUCAAACUCUGGUUCCUAGGGAAAUCCUCAGAGAUCCUGCAUCUGCGAUGAGGCCCAGAAGUGGUUUUUGUGACCAGUUCCAAGGCGACUUCAUACAGGCAGUCCUUGGGGACACUGGUGACAGGAUUUCCCUCUCUGGACCUUGGUGUCCUGCUCUGUAAAUAAAGGGGUUUGUCAAAGACGGUUUCUGCUUUCUCUGUCAGCUCCAACAUACAGCUUCUCAAAAGCUUCCAAAAAUCCCCUUACCCAAGCUUGCAGCCCUCAUCACCUGUCUCAAG
rnacentral:lncRNA from 1 species